rnacentral:tRNA from 1 species
CGGGAUGUAGCGCAGUCCGGUAGCGUGCUUCGUUCGGGACGAAGAGGCCGCAGGUUCGAAUCCUGUCAUCCCGACCA